GAGGGUAUAACUCAGUGGUAGAGUAUAUGCUUAUUAUGCACAAAGUCCUGGAUUCAAUUCCUAGUACCUCCA
rnacentral:tRNA from 1 species